GUAGGGUGCGAGCGUUAAUCGGGAAUUACUGGGGCGUAAAGCGUGCGCAGGCGGUUAUGUAAGACAGAUGUGAAAUCCCCGGGGCUCAACCUGGGAACUGCAUUUGUGACUGCAUGGCUAGAGUACGGUAGAGGGGGAUGGAAUUCCGCGUGUAGCAGUGAAAUGCGUAGACAUGCGGAGGAACACCGAUGGCGAAGGCAAUCCCCUGGACCUGUACUGACGCUCAUGCACGAAAGCGUGGGGAGCAAACAGGAUUAGAUACCCUGGUAGUCCACGCCCUAAACGAUGUCAACUGGUUGUUGGGAAUUAGUUUUCUCAGUAACGAAGCUAACGCGUGAAGUUGACCGCCUGGGGAGUACGGCCGCAAGGUUG
rnacentral:rRNA from 1 species